CCUAAUACAUGCAAGUCGAACGCACUCUCGUUUAGAUUGAAGGAGCUUGCUCCUGAUUGAUAAACAUUUGAGUGAGUGGCGGACGGGUGAGUAACACGUGGGUAACCUGCCCUAAAGUGGGGGAUAACAUUUGGAAACAGAUGCUAAUACCGCAUAAAACCUAACACCGCAUGGUGUAGGGUUGAAAGAUGGUUUCGGCUAUCACUUUAGGAUGGACCCGCGGUGCAUUAGUUAGUUGGUGAGGUAAAGGCUCACCAAGACCGUGAUGCAUAGCCGACCUGAGAGGGUAAUCGGCCACACUGGGACUGAGACACGGCCCAGACUCCUACGGGAGGCAGCAGUAGGGAAUCUUCCACAAUGGACGAAAGUCUGAUGGAGCAACGCCGCGUGAGUGAAGAAGGUUUUCGGAUCGUAAAACUCUGUUGUUGGAGAAGAAUGUAUCUGAUAGUAACUGAUCAGGUAGUGACGGUAUCCAACCAGAAAGCCACGGCUAACUACGUGCCAGCAGCCGCGGUAAUACGUAGGUGGCAAGCGUUGUCCGGAUUUAUUGGGCGUAAAGCGAGCGCAGGCGGUUUCUUAAGUCUGAUGUGAAAGCCUUCGGCUCAACCGAAGAAGUGCAUCGGAAACUGGGAAACUUGAGUGCAGAAGAGGACAGUGGAACUCCAUGUGUAGCGGUGAAAUGCGUAGAUAUAUGGAAGAACACCAGUGGCGAAGGCGGCUGUCUGGUCUGUAACUGACGCUGAGGCUCGAAAGCAUGGGUAGCAAACAGGAUUAGAUACCCUGGUAGUCCAUGCCGUAAACGAUGAGUGCUAGGUGUUGGAGGGUUUCCGCCCUUCAGUGCCGCAGCUAACGCAUUAAGCACUCCGCCUGGGGAGUACGACCGCAAGGUUGAAACUCAAAGGAAUUGACGGGGGCCCGCACAAGCGGUGGAGCAUGUGGUUUAAUUCGAAGCAACGCGAAGAACCUUACCAGGUCUUGACAUCCUUUGACCACUCUAGAAAUAGAGCUUUCCCUUCGGGGACAAAGUGACAGGGGGUGCAUGGUUGUCGUCAGCUCCGGGCCGGGAAAUGUUGGGUUAAGUCCCGCAACGAGCGCAACCCUUAUUACUAGUUGCCAGCAUUAAGUUGGGCCCUCUAGUGGAAACUGCCGGGGA
rnacentral:rRNA from 1 species